rnacentral:rRNA from 1 species
AGUCGAGCGACGCAUGCCGGAGGGGUAACCCACUGGCAUGACGGAGCGGCGAACGGGUGAGUAACACGUGAGCAACCUGCCCCACAGAUCGGGAUAGCCCAGGGAAACCUGGAUUAAUACCGGAUACCCUCGGAGGACGGCAUGGUCCAUCGAGGAAAUGCCUUUGUGCUGUGGGAUGUGCCGCGACUUAUGAGCUAGUUGGUGGGGUAACUGGCCUACCAAGGCAUUGACGAGUAGCUGGUCUGAGAGGACGAUCAGCCACACUUGGGACUGAGACACCGGCCCAGACUCCUACGGAGGCAGCAGCGGGGGAAUCUUGCGCAAUGGGCGAAAGCCUGACGCAGCAACGCCGCGUGGGGGAUGAAGGCCUUCCGGUUGUAAAACCCCUUUCAGGAGGGAAGAAAUUGACGGUACCUCCAGAAGAACACCGGCCAACUACGUGCCAGCAGCCCGCGGUAAUACGUAGGGGUGCGAGCCGUAAUCCGGAAUCAUUGGGCCGUAAAGAAGCUCUAGGCCGGU